AUAUAAGAAUGAUGCAACAGUUAUUUGUUAUUUCCCACCUCAACAAGCUAUUCUUGGGCAGUUGGCAGCUCCGCAAAGAUAAUUCACCUUUGUAAAUUAUGCUUCUUCUUUUUUUAAUUUAAUUUCAAAUUUCAAUUUAAACAAAAUUAGCAAGAGACAACACACACAAGGAAUAUGAUUAUAUAUGAUAUAAUAAUAAAUAAUUACUCAAAUAAAAACAAAAGGGGAAAAAUAAAAAUUGCUACAACAACCGCAAUCACAACAACAAAGAGAAGGAAGAGAGUGAAAAAUCAGAGAGACGGAAAGAUCGUCUUCUGAAUCGGAACAACAACAACAACGAGCUGUUCAGGUUUGAAUUUUUCAGCAAUAUAGUAGCAAUUAUGAGAUUCAAGAAAGGAACUAAGGUGGAAGUGUUGAGCAAAGCUGAGGUGCCUUCUGGCUCCUGGCUCUGUGCUGAGAUCAUAUGUGGGAAUGGCCACAGUUACACUGUUAGGUACGAUGGAUAUCACGGUGCUGCUAGUGGCGCGAUUGUGGAGCGAGUAUCUAGGAAGGCGAUAAGGCCAUGUCCGCCUGAGCUUGAACUAGCAGAGAAUUGGAAUCCAGGUGAUGUUGUUGAGGUCUUCCGGAACUAUUCCUGGAAGAUGGCUACAGUUUUGAAGGAUUGGGGGAACAAGUAUGUUUCGGUCAGGCUUCUUGGAUCUUCUAUGGAAUUUCUAGUGAACAAAUUUGAAAUCCGGGUGAGACAAUCUUGGCAAGAUGACAAGUGGAUUUUGGUUGGAAAGGGUUCUGCCAGCUGCAGGAAAGGAAAACGUGAUAAUACACUCAUUCCAAGACAGAGUUUAAUUUCUAGUUCCCAAAUUCAGAAGACAAAUACAAAGACAAAAUUGUCAGCUUCAAAUGAUUAUCACUCUGAAAAGAAAGAUAUGGGCUUUUUCGACUCCCGCCUUGUUUCUUUCAAAACAUUGAAACGAAGGAGCCAUUCACAAGUUGAGGCAUACGCUGAGCCUCCCCCGAAGUUUAGAGCAAUUGAGAAUGAAGACAGAUGUCACAGAGUAAGGGUUAGAAAUCCAUCCACACCUCUCAAAAAGGUACAUGGUGUUGGCAUUCCAAGAGAUGUGAUCAUUGAAGAAUGUUUACCUGCUUUUGUAAACAAAAAAAUUGGGAUGUAUGAUAUGGACAUUGAGCGGAGGAAACUAACUGGAGCUGUUGGUUGUUCAUUUGGAGAAAACAUUGAAUCAAAUGAUGCUGAUAGCAUUACAUGCUCUGUUGGUAGUUGUAGUAUCACAAGCAGGAAUUCCUAUAAAUUGCAGUUUCCUGUACCUGCAGGCCCUUUUGAAGAUGUGGAUAGUCCAUUUAGUGAUGCUGAAUCUGUUUGCCAGAGGGAAUAUGACGAAGGAAAUCGUUCACCUCCUACACAAGAAGAAUUGGCAGCAGAAAUCCAUAGGUUAGAAUUGGAUGCGUAUCGUUGUACAAUAGAGGCGUUACAUGCAUCGGGACCCUUAAGUUGGGAACAAGAAGCAUUGAUGACAAAUCUCCGUCUUUCGCUCCACAUAUCAAAUGAUGAACAUUUAGUGGAGCUAAAAAAUUUGAUUUCUUCCGAAAACAGUCUUCCUUUCAGAUGACACAAACUUUCUAAUCCAACUUUAUACUUCUUUUUCAGUGAGUUUCAUGACAGUUUGUUCUUAGCCUCAUUCAACUGUAACAAGCAAGAUGAAGGCUGAGUAGGAGGCAUAUACAUGAUGCUUCCAGAUUCUCCAGAUGAUAUUGUUGCUUGCCACCUUUCUCUUGCUCUGCAGCUCUGGACAGGGCUGGCUUUUCUAAUGUGGAUGAGACAACACUUCCAUAGACUUGUGGAGUUUUGCACUCUUCCAAUUCAGGUCACCUGUGAGCCUCAUAUAUCUGUAUUUGCAGAAAGGUUCAUGCUGAGAGUCCUGCGGCUAUCAUGGAUUCACGUGAUAUGCGAAUAUUUCAUUGGUUUCCUUAAACUUUAAUUUCUGCAUAUCCAAUUAUGAUAUCUGUUACAUGUUGAUGCAUGUCUCGCUAUCAUGUGUUGCAAAUUAAAUGAUCACUGCUGUGUCCUACGCACAUACACACACAACUUGUUACAUGCUGAGUCCUAGUUAAUGGUUGAAAGGUUAUGUCUUAUCAGUGAACAACCUUGGGGUGGUAGUUUAGUUCUGGAGUAGGAAAACCCUGCAAGAGAAAUAAUUAGUGGAUAUUACCAGUAGUCACAUAUAUCAACUGAAAGUAACAUAGUCAAGUUGUCUGCAGAAUUAAAGUAGCAGUUUUUCUGGAGAAACCUUAAAACUAGAAGGUACUUGUAGCAACUGCAGUAGAAAUUGAAAGCUGAAAAGGUUUUAGCUACUCCUAAGUCAUAAACUUGGCAAGUUUUCAGUUUCUUUCAAAUUAUUAUUUGCAAUUUCCUCAUCUUAUUAUUGUGAUAUCAAUUGAUCAAAUUGAUUGCCACCUGAUUUCAUCUGGUACCUGCCAUGGUUACUUUAAUGAAAGCUAUUUCCAAACUUGUACUACUCCUAGAGUAACAUGAACAUGUUUUUCUUUUUGUGGCUAUAAGCUUACACAUGGUGGCUUGUCAUUGGUUUCUGUUCAGUGCAUCCCUGUUCAGCUAUGAUCCAAUAGCAUAUGGUCCAAGUGGCUCUUGGAUGAAUAUUGCCACGUUAAAGCAAUGAAUCAAGGUAUGAUUCUGCAUGAAUAUUCACCUUGGGGGUUAUGUGUGCAAGUUGGAGUUUUGAAGGGAAAUAGGAAUGCUUUGAACAAUAAAAAGGGCACUUCACUUAACAAUAAAAGCCCUUCUCCCCCUCCUUUCCCCUGGAAAAUUCUGACUUGCAAACAUCCCCUUAGUGACCUAGGUGGUAUAUAUGUUUUAAGUAUAUGCUCGAUUCUGAAUACUUACUUAUACAUAUAUAACUCAGAUCUUAUACUCUAUUUUAUGAACAAUUAACUUCAAGUGUACUAGCUUCUGUAGUUUACAAAGUUUUCUAUUUUGCAUC